rnacentral:rRNA from 1 species
UCGAGCGAUGAAAUCCUUUCGGGGAUGGAUUAGCGGCGGACGGGUGAGUAACACGUGGGUAACCUACCUCAAAGAGGGGGAUAGCCUCCCGAAAGGGAGAUUAAUACCGCAUAACAUUAAUUUUUCGCAUGAAGAACUAAUUAAAGGAGUAAUCCGCUUUGAGAUGGACCCGCGGCGCAUUAGCUAGUUGGUGAGGUAAAGGCUCACCAAGGCGACGAUGCGUAGCCGACCUGAGAGGGUGAUCGGCCACAUUGGAACUGAGACACGGUCCAGACUCCUACGGGAGGCAGCAGUGGGGAAUAUUGCACAAUGGGCGAAAGCAUGAUGCAGCAACGCCGCGUGAGUGAUGAAGGCCUUCGGGUUGUAAAGCUCUGUCUUUUGGGACGAUAAUGACGGUACCAAAGGAGGAAGCCACGGCUAACUACGUGCCAGCAGCCGCGGUAAUACGUAGGUGGCGAGCGUUGUCCGGAUUUACUGGGCGUAAAGGAUGCGUAGGCGGAUAUUUAAGUGAGAUGUGAAAUACCCGAGCUUAACUUGGGUGCUGCAUUUCAAACUGGAUAUCUAGAGUGUGGGAGAGGAGAAUGGAAUUCCUAGUGUAGCGGUGAAAUGCGUAGAGAUUAGGAAGAACACCAGUGGCGAAGGCGAUUCUCUGGACCAUAACUGACGCUGAGGCAUGAAAGCGUGGGUAGCAAACAGGAUUAGAUACCCUGGUAGUCCACGCCGUAAACGAUGAGUACUAGGUGUAGGAGGUAUCGACUCCUUCUGUGCCGCAGUUAACACAAUAAGUACUCCGCCUG